rnacentral:rRNA from 1 species
AGUACGGAGCUAUGAACGAACGAGAUCGAGACCCGUGGUUGCGUGUGUUUGAAUUCGGUAUUACUACGGGGAUCGCGUAUUACUCCACGGUACGAUCGAAAGACUCGGCAAUAACAGGUCUGUGAUGCCCUCAGAUGUUCUAGGCUGCACACGUGCUACAGUGUGGUUCUGUUCAUAUGUGUAUGCGUAGACUUGAGAUCCCCCGCACCGAGUCAUAAUUGGUCACACGGUUGGGCUCACCGAUUGUCAAUUAUUCGGUAUCUUAACUAGGAAUGCCUCGUACUGGGUCGGUUCAACGAGACCCCCUGGAAUCCGUCCCUGCCCUUUGUACACACCGCCCGUCGCUCUUACCGAUGGGCGUGGUUUUUAGUUGCGAUGAAUAUUCUACGAAUGUGACUCGUUGCUCGGAACCACGCCUAAAGGAAAGAGAA